CCGGCGACCGGCGCACGGGUGAGUAACACGUAUGAAACCUGCCCGUAGCAGGGGGAUAAGCGGAAGAAAUUCCGUCUAAUACCGCGUAACAACCCAUGGAGGCAUCUCUGUGGGUUUAAAGGAAGCGAUUCCGGCUACGGAUGGUCAUGCGUCGCAUUAGCUUGUUGGCGGGUAACGGCCCACCAAGGCGACGAUGCGUAGGGGUUCUGAGAGGAAGGUCCCCCACACUGGUACUGAGACACGGACCAGACUCCUACGGGAGGCAGCAG
rnacentral:rRNA from 1 species